CAGCAUGUGGGAUCUAGUUCCCUGACCAGGGAUCGAACCUGGGCCCCCUGCAUUGGGAGUGCGGAGUCUUAACCGCUGGACCACCAGGGAAGUCCCAUGCACAGAGAUUUAAAGCAACCUGGUAUAUUCUGGAAGCUUCAGCAUUGCUGGAGCAUAAAGCCUAAGGAAGUAGGAAGCAGGAAGGCAGAACUUGAAAUGGAAGUGAGAGGCAGAGCUUUGUGUGCCCAGGAAAGGACCUGGAACAUUUACCUGCCCAAGAGGUCCCGCAGCUGCAGCCUUUGACACAAGGGCCACAUCCCAGACACCGUGCCCCUCUGAGCUGCUUUAGGGCUUCGGGAGCCCACCCACUUGGCCCUGGUCAGCCCAGCCUGGAGAAUCACCCUCCAUGCUGCAGCUGGGUCCUGUGGGCUCCAAAGGAGGUGAGCCUUAGGGCUUUUAUCCUGGAGAGUAAAGGCAGCAGCUUCUGUGGUGUCCCAACCGCAGUGUCUGGCGCAUAGCAGCUGCUCAGUGGGUGUCUGCUAAGAAUAUAGAGGUUUUUCCCAUGCUCUGCUCUGACCACCCAUUGCCUCCUCUUGCUAGAACAGGGGCAGCAUCAGCCUGGACCUCCCCAGUCACCCACCACCACGUUUCUCUGGCAUGUUAUUAAUUAAUAAAUUCACUUAACAAAACAUUCGUUGACGUGUGAGGACAAGUAGGUGCCAGACGCUGGUCUCUGUUGCACAGACAGAGCUACCAUUGAGGGAUUACUGUGUGCUGGCGGGACCUGACAGAUAAUCCAGAAAUCACGUGGUCCGGGCUUGAGAUUUGUUCAGGGUGUUAGGGGAGCACAGCGGGCAGGCACCUGACCUCCUCUCUCAGGGAGGGGACUGGGAGGGGGAUGGAAGAGCGCUUCAAGGAGGAGGUAAGUGAACUGAGUCUUAACAGGUGGAUAGGAUGCUCCUGGGAAAGGCAGUCCAGGCAGGGAGCCCAGCACAGGCAAAGGCAAAGAGACUCUCGCUGGUGGAGAAGCAGGCAAGGACGUGGGUGCCGGGGAAGGAGUUGGCAUCUUCCCCUCCUGGUUGGCAACAUCUGUGGGUCCCACCGUACACCUCAGCCCUGGAAGGAGGGUCAGGGCAUUGGACUUGGGAGGAGCCUGGGAAAGGAGUUGUGAUCUGAGAAAUCCAGCCUGCAUUUAUUCAGCUAAUUUGACUGGGCUGACCCCUUAAUGGGACUGGGCUGAGCUUCCCUGCUCAGUGGGGAUGCCUGAGAACAGGGAAGAAUUUGAACUCAGGGUCUGACCCUCAGCCGCCCGUUUUACAGCCUUGCUUUCAGUGUUCUCUAUUACCAGUGCUGUUAUUAUCGUGAAGGCUUCUGUAGCCUCCUUUCGUUCCAGCCAUUACAUUUUCUGAUUUGACCUGUUGGCAAUUAGUCUUCUCCCAGUGGGGCUUGGUUUCUGUUUUGUUUUUUAUGCACUUAUUUUUCAAAAGUACUUUCACAAGUAAUUUAAGUUGGUUUUAUUCAACCCAUCAGUCAGGCAUCAGUGCCGUGGGUAAUUGUUAGCUGGUAACAGCUGGCGUGUCACUGGACAAGCGUGGACCUGGAGUCCAGACUCCGGCGGCGUUCCCACGUGCUGGUGAAGAACGUGGGCUUAAAGCUGAGUGUGGUUCAAGUUCAGAGCUGAGUGCAGACCCUGGGCUCACCCCCUACCAGCUGUGACCUUGGGCGAGUAAUGGAAGAGCUUUUAAUUUCACUUAAAAUAUCUUUAAAAUAUUCUUUAAAGUACUUUUGUAAGGAUUUCAUGAGCAUAUUUUCAUUGUUUAAAAAAAAAAAAAAAAAAGAUUUCACCCCAUCCCAGCGGCCCCAUCAGAGGCAGCCCUGGAGGUUUUCGUGGGGUGGCAAACCCAUGGAGACAGACACGGUUGUGUUUUUAUUUUUUGCUUUUAACAUUAAAGAUGCGAAGCUUGA